GCCCAAGUGGCGGAACUGGCAGACGCGCUAGCUUCAGGAGCUAGUGGGUUCACACCCGUGGAGGUUCGAGUCCUCUCUUGGGCA
rnacentral:tRNA from 1 species